rnacentral:ncRNA from 1 species
GCGUUGAAGCGAGAGGUUGCGGCUUUUUAAGCCGGUUUUUUCGUGGAGUAUGUCCGAUUUUAAACCGGGCG